rnacentral:tRNA from 1 species
GCCGGCGUAGCUCAGUGGCAGAGCAGCUGAUUCGUAAUCAGCUAGUCGGAGGUUCGAGUCCUCUCGCCGGCU